rnacentral:tRNA from 1 species
CUCAGCUGGAUAGAGUACUCGGCUACGAACCGAGCGGUCGGAGGUUCGAAUCCUCCCGGAUGCA